rnacentral:rRNA from 1 species
UACCAGCACCCCGAGUGGUCGGGACGAUUAUUGGGCCCAAAGCAUCCGUAGCCGGUUCUGCAAGUCCCCCGUUAAAUCCAGCUGCUCAACAGAUGGGCCGCGGAGGAUACUACAGAGCUAGGAGGCAGGAGAGGCAAGCGGUACUCAGUGGGUAGGGGUAAAAUCCGUUGAUCCAUUGAAGACCACCAGUGGCGAAGGCGGCUUGCCAGAAUGCGCUCGACGGUGAGGGAUGAAAGCUGGGGGAGCAAACGGG